rnacentral:rRNA from 1 species
GAUGAACGCUGGCGGCGUGCCUAAUACAUGCAAGUCGAACGGAGAUUGUAGCAAUACGGUCUUAGUGGCGAACGGGUGAGUAACGCGUUGGUAACCUGCCCCGAAGCGUGGGAUAACGGUCCGAAAGGACCACUAAUACCACAUGUGAUCCCGAGGAAUAGAUACUUGGGAUGAAAGGAGCAAUUCGCUUCGGGAGGGACCUGCGUCCCAUCAGCUAGUUGGUAGGGUAACGGCCUACCAAGGCGAUGACGGGUAGGGGACCUGAGAGGGUGGCCCCCCACAAUGGAACUGAAACACGGUCCAUACACCUACGGGUGGCAGCAGUAGGGAAUAUUGGUUAAUGUGCGAAAGCGCGAACCAGCAACGCCGCGUGUGCGAUGAAGGCCUUCGGGUCGUAAAGCACUUUUUGCAGGGAAGAGGAAGGACGGUACCUGCAGAAUAAGUCUCGGCUAACUACGUG